rnacentral:rRNA from 1 species
GGACCAAGGAGUCUAGCAUGUGACCGAGUUUUUCGGGCUGUCNAAACCCGAAGAGCGUAGUGAAAGCGUUUGGACGGGCGGCGACCUGUUGCUCGAUUGCNUAGAGAUGAUGGGUGGCUUNNNNNUGUCGGCCGCUCGCAAUCUCGGGGUGGUCUCGUUUUCGUUCGCGCGCGAAAGAGCCAUACUCAGAGNGUCACACGCUAAGCCCC